UAGAAGAAAAUCCGCCUCUGGCGUUCCUGGCUUUCCCCCUCCCGCUCCGCGGUGGCGUCUCCCAUGGCCGCGUCGCCUGCCCUCCUCUCGCUGACCCCCGCCGUCUCCAGGCACCCCCACCUCCUCUUCUCCCCCUGCCCCUCGCCGCGCCACCUCCGCCUCGCCCCUCCCGCCGCCGCCUCCGCCUCCCCGGGCGGCGGCCCCGGCGGCGGCGGAGGGGGCGUCUUCCUCUCGCCGCGUGCGCUCUCACAGCUCGACGAGCUAGCGGCGUUCCGCUAUGAGCACUCAUUCCCGCACGGAAGCCUCACCGUGCGGGCGCUCACCCCCGACGACGACGCCAUGGCCGAGGCGCUCGUCCGCCUCCUCGCCUCCUCCUUCUCCGAGACCGUCCGGUGGGCCCCGGCCCAGCGGUACGCCCAGCUCCUCACGUUCGUCAUCCGCAGGUACCUCCACGAGCGCCGCGGACUCGCGCCCCACGCUGCGGUGCUUGUGGGGUUCUACCGCCCCGCCGAUGCCGCCGCCACGGAGGAGGACGGGGACGGAGAGGGGGAAGGGGAGGCGGAGGGCGGCGAUGAGGGGGAGAUGGCGUGCACGGCGGAGGUGUCGUUUGACGCGGUGGGCGCGCCCGGGGCCCCGCCCACGCCCACCCCGCCGCUCGAGUUCCCGUACAUCUGCAAUAUGACUGUGAAGACGUCAUUGAGGAGGAGAGGAAUUGGAAAGCAACUUCUUAAGGCGUGCGAGGAUCUAGUUAUCAAGAUGGAUGCCAAAAGACGCAUAUAUCUUCAUUGUAGAAUAAUCGAUCAAGUCCCGUUCAACAUGUACAGGAAAGCUGGAUAUAAUAUUGUCCAGACUGACAGCAUUUUAGUUUGGUUGAGCCUUCAAAAGCGGAAGCACUUGAUGAGCAAGGAAUUGCCGCAAGCAUCUGUUGGCAGUGAAAUUACGACCAAAGACUUCGAUGAUAAUAUCAUGACAAGCUAAAAGUGCCACAGCACCAUUAGGUACACAUAAGGUUGACUUUUGUGUAUAAAUUAUCCUCCAGUAUUCCAGAAGCCAUUUUCAAAGUGUGCUGGUGUUGCUGUUCUUACUACUGUUAACUGUAAUCCACAUUCUUGACAGUUGUUCAAGUUAAUGAGGGCUGUUCUUAACCCCCUCUGAAUAGCUGUAAUGACAUUGAAGCUUGUGAUGUUAUCCUCUGAGCAGUAUAUGCAUCCAAUGAGUUUCCCACCUUCGUAGAGAUAAUUUUUCCUGAAGAACCAUCGGGAACUCGAUAUGACUAAAAUAUUGAUCUCACGUAAGUUUGCAGCUAAUCUUGCAUCAAGUUUAUCCAAGUGUA